rnacentral:rRNA from 1 species
GCCAGACUCCUACGGGAGGCAGCAGUGGGGAAUAUUGCACAAUGGGGGAAACCCUGAUGCAGCGACGCCGCGUGAGUGAAGAAGUAUUUCGGUAUGUAAAGCUCUAUCAGCAGGGAAGAAAAAAGACGGUACCUGACUAAGAAGCCCCGGCUAACUACGUGCCAGCAGCCGCGGUAAUACGUAGGGGGCAAGCGUUAUCCGGAAUUACUGGGUGUAAAGGGUGCGUAGGUGGCAUGGUAAGUCAGAAGUGAAAGCCCGGGGCUUAACCCCGGGACUGCUUUUGAAACUGUCAUGCUGGAGUGCAGGAGAGGUAAGCGGAAUUCCUAGUGUAGCGGUGAAAUGCGUAGAUAUUAGGAGGAACACCAGUGGCGAAGGCGGCUUACUGGACUGUCACUGACACUGAUGCACGAAAGCGUGGGGAGCAAACAGGAUUAGAUACCCCAGUA